UACGUAGGCACCAAGCGUUGUCCGGAUUUAUUGGGCGUAAAGAGCUCGUAGGCGGUUCGGUAAGUCGGGUGUGAAAACUCUGGGCUCAACCCAGAGAGGCCACCCGAUACUGCCGUGACUGGAGUGCGGUAGGGGAGUGGGGAAUUCCUGGUGUAGCGGUGAAAUGCGCAGAUAUCAGGAGGAACACCGGUGGCGAAGGCGGUUCUCUGGGCCUGUACUGACGCUGAGGAACGAAAGCGUGGGGAGCGAACAGG
rnacentral:rRNA from 1 species